rnacentral:rRNA from 1 species
CACGUAGGGUGCGAGCGUUGUCCGGAAUUAUUGGGCGUAAGAGCUCGUAGGCGGUGUGUCGCGUCGGCCGUGAAAACCUGCAGCUUAACUGUGGGCGUGCGGUCGAUACGGGCAUCACUGGAGUUCGGCAGGGGAGACUGGAAUUCCUGGUGUAGCGGUGAAAUGCGCAGAUAUCAGGAAGAACACCCGUGGCUAAGGCGGCUCUCUAGUACGGUACUGACGCUGAGACGCGAAAGCGUGGGGAGCGAACAGG